AAUAACAUUAAAAUCUUCAACUAAUUACAUAAAAGUGGUUAUAAAGUUAAAAUUACACCAUAGGCUAAAACAAGCAUAAAAUAAGAUAAUAGGCCAAUUAUAACAGUUGAGCGACCGUGCUAGAACGAUGGAACUCGGGAAUGCCUAAAACCUUCUCCCGGGUUAACAAAAUUCCUUACCCAGAUUUUUGUGUUCGCGGAUUAUAAUACUGAGUCAAUCUUUUCUUCGAUCGGGAUUUGAACCGGUGACUUGGGACACUAUAAAUUAUCCUAAGUGUCGACUCUGAAUUUUUAAUAAUAUAAUCUCAUUUGGAUUGUCACUUUAAUUUUAAAAACUCCCUUAUCUACGCCCUUCGUGGGGUAUAGUGUAAAAGGAGGUGUGACAGUUAAGUCCGAAAUGGAGGUAAAAUUUGGGCUAUUAUUUAAGUACCC
rnacentral:lncRNA from 1 species